rnacentral:rRNA from 1 species
AGCGAACGCUGGCGGCAGGCUUAACACAUGCAAGUCGAGCGGGCACUUCGGUGUCAGCGGCAGACGGGUGAGUAACACGUGGGAACGUACCCUUCGGUUCGGAAUAACGCUGGGAAACUAGCGCUAAUACCGGAUACGCCCUUUUGGGGAAAGGUUUACUGCCGAAGGAUCGGCCCGCGUCUGAUUAGCUAGUUGGUGGGGUAAUGGCCUACCAAGGCGACGAUCAGUAGCUGGUCUGAGAGGAUGAUCAGCCACACUGGGACUGAGACACGGCCCAGACUCGUACGGGAGGCAGCAGUGGGGAAUAUUGGACAAUGGGCGCAAGCCUGAUCCAGCCAUGCCGCGUGAGUGAUGAAGGCCUUAGGGUUGUAAAGCUCUUUUGUCCGGGACGAUAAUGACGGUACCGGAAGAAUAAGCCCCGGCUAACUUCGUG